rnacentral:rRNA from 1 species
AGUGAACGCUGGCGGUAGGCCUAACACAUGCAAGUCGAACGGCAGCACAGGAGAGCUUGCUCUCUGGGUGGCGAGUGGCGGACGGGUGAGGAAUACAUCGGAAUCUACUCUGUCGUGGGGGAUAACGUAGGGAAACUUACGCUAAUACCGCAUACGACCUACGGGUGAAAGCAGGGGACCUUCGGGCCUUGCGCGAUUGAAUGAGCCGAUGUCGGAUUAGCUAGUUGGCGGGGUAAGGGCCCACCAAGGCGACGAUCCGUAGCUGGUCUGAGAGGAUGAUCAGCCACACUGGAACUGAGACACGGUCCAGACUCCUACGGGAGGCAGCAGUGGGGAAUAUUGGACAAUGGGCGCAAGCCUGAUCCAGCCAUACCGCGUGGGUGAAGAAGGCCUUCGGGUUGUAAAGCCCUUUUGUUGGGAAAGAAAUCCAGCUGGUUAAUACCCGGUUGGGAUGACGGUACCCAAAGAAUAAGCACCGGCUAACUUCGUGCCAGCCGCCGCGGUAA